UCAACUGGUUUGUUACUGGAGAAUGCUGGGGCCUCAUAGGGCCUCUGUACAUUGUUAUCUUCCAAGGCUAAGAUGUGCCUGCUUGGAGGAGUGAAACUAGCAAUUUUAAUUUACAUCUAAAGGUUCAGAGACAGCUCUGGUGUGAAGAAAGGAAGUGAAGGGAGGGCCUGUGGGCCCAACUAUAUUCUAAAGAAGGCCAGAAGAUAUGUACAUUGACAGUUCUCCACAAAGAUCAUUCAACAAGCUCAGGGCCACAGCUGUGAAGUUAGAACAUCUGGCACAUGUGCCUUCCAUGUAGCAAGUGCUCUGUGGAGUGGCCCUUCGAAAAUUUGCAAAGGCAUUAAAAACCUGCGUGGAAAGUGCACGAUACCAGAAUGACCCUACAGAACCUCUGCAUUUGCGACAGCAAGUGAUGUGUUCUGAUUUGCCCUGAAGACAAGCCAGUGUGGGAUUGACCUUGAAGAUUGUUUAGAGAUUGCAUCUGGCAUAGAAGACACUGGCCUCUUUGUGGACAGAUGUCCACCAAGUCUUUGCUGUCAUCCAAAACCUCCC